GUAUAGGGGAGCCGAAGGGAAACCGAGUCUUAACCGGGCGUUAAGUUGCAGGGUAUAGACCCGAAACCCGGUGAUCUAGCCAUGGGCAGGUUGAAGGUUGGGUAACACUAACUGGAGGACCGAACCGACUAAUGUUGAAAAAUUAGCGGAUGACCUGUGGCUGGGGGUGAAAGGCCAAUCAAACCGGGAGAUAGCUGGUUCUCCCCGAAAGCUAUUUAGGUAGCGCCUCGUGAAUUCAUCUCCGGGGGUAGAGCACUGUUUCGGCUAGGGGGCCAUCCCGGCUUACCAACCCGAUGCAAACUGCGAAUACCGGAGAAUGUUAUCACGGGAGACACACGGCGGGUGCUAACGUCCGUCGUGAAGAGGGAAACAACCCAGACCGCCAGCUAAGGUCCCAAAGUCAUGGUUAAGUGGGAAACGAUGUGGGAAGGCCCAGACAGCCAGGAUGUUGGCUUAGAAGCAGCCAUCAUUUAAAGAAAGCGUAAUAGCUCACUGGUCGAGUCGGCCUGCGCGGAAGAUGUAACGGGGCUAAACCAUGCACCGAAGCUGCGGCAGCGACGCUGAUGCGUUGUUGGGUAGGGGAGCGUUCUGUAAGCCUGCGAAGGUGUGUCGUGAGGCAUGCUGGAGGUAUCAGAAGUGCGAAUGCUGACAUAAGUAACGAUAAA
rnacentral:rRNA from 1 species